rnacentral:rRNA from 1 species
AUUGAACGCUGGCGGCAUGCUUUACACAUGCAAGUCGAACGGUAACAGGCCGCAAGGUGCUGACGAGUGGCGAACGGGUGAGUAAUGCAUCGGAACGUGCCCAGUCGUGGGGGAUAACGCAGCGAAAGCUGUGCUAAUACCGCAUACGAUCUAUGGAUGAAAGCGGGGGACCGUAAGGCCUCGCGCGAUUGGAGCGGCCGAUGUCAGAUUAGGUAGUUGGUGGGGUAAAGGCUCACCAAGCCAAUGAUCUGUAGCUGGUCUGAGAGGACGACCAGCCACACUGGGACUGAGACACGGCCCAGACUCCUACGGGAGGCAGCAGUGGGGAAUUUUGGACAAUGGGCGCAAGCCUGAUCCAGCAGUGCCGCGUGCAGGAAGAAGGCCUUCGGGUUGUAAACUGCUUUUGUACGGAACGAAACGGCGAGCUCUAAUACAGUUUGCUAAUGACGGUACCGUAAGAAUAAGCACCGGCUAACUACGUGCCAGCCGCCGCGGUAA